rnacentral:siRNA from 1 species
ACAAAAGGCUUGGACUGAUUCUGU